GUGGGGAAUAUUGGACAAUGGGCGAAAGCCUGAUCCAGCCAUGCCGCGUGUGUGAAGAAGGUCUUCGGAUUGUAAAGCACUUUAAGUUGGGAGGAAGGGCAGUAAGUUAAUACCUUGCUGUUUUGACGUUACCGACAGAAUAAGCACCGGCUAACUUCGUGCCAGCAGCCGCGGUAAUACGAAGGGUGCAAGCGUUAAUCGGAAUUACUGGGCGUAAAGCGCGCGUAGGUGGUUUUGUAAGUUGGAGGUGAAAUCCCCGGGCUCAACCUGGGAGCUGCCUCCAAAACUGCAUGACUAGAGUACGGUAGAGGGUAGUGGAAUUUCCUGGGUAGCGGUGAAAUGCGUAGAUAUAGGAAGGAACACCAGUGGCGAAGGCGACUACCUGGACUGAUACUGACACUGAGGUGCGAAAGCGUGGGGAGCAAACAGGAUUAGAUACCCGUGUAGUCC
rnacentral:rRNA from 1 species